GAUGAAGAACGUAGCGAACGUGCGAAACGUAAUGUGAAUUGCAGAAUUCAGUGAAUCAUCGAGUCUUUGAACGCACAUUGCGCCCCCUGGUAUUCCGGGGGGCAUGCCUGUCCGAGCGUCAUUGCUGCCCUCAAGCACGGCUUGUGUGUUGGGCUCCGUCCCCCCGGGGACGGGCCCGAAAGGCAGCGGCGGCACCGAGUCCGGUCCUCGAGCGUAUGGGGCUUUGUCACCCGCUCUGUAGGCCCGGCCGGCGCCAGCCGACAACCCAUCAUCCUUUUCAGGUUGACCUCGGAUCAGGUAGGGAUACCCGCUGAACUUAAGCAUAUCAAUAAGCGGAGGA
rnacentral:misc_RNA from 1 species